GGAAACCUUUCUGUCAAUACAGAGCCUUCGUAUCCCUGGCUAUGCCACGAGCUUUGGGAGAAAUACACCGUUAGAUAAAUCCACUUAGGUAAUCGAGGUUGAUCCUCUAUCCCAUUAUACCCAUCGACAUUCUUUUCGUUUCUCCUUUGUGCUUUCAAUCCUAACAAAUUUCCUUUAUUUCGUUUGAAUCUGAGAAGAAAACCAGUAAGAAUACUUACAAAAUCAAAUGAUCCCUAAUAACACUAAUUUCCCCGAGAUUUAAGUUUGUAUUCUUUUUUUUCAGAAGAUCAACGAUACCACUUCUUCCUUGAAUUUUGAGACAUCGAAUGUCGAGGGGAAAAAUGCAUGUGGCUCAAAAGCAACAGUAAGUGACCAACGCUGGAAAGCAGGAUUUUUUUAACAAGUCACGGGAACAAGUAGUGUCUAGAUAUUUUUUAGUUAAAUCGUUCUUUGACGGAUACGAUGAUCAACCUCCGCAGAAACAGAUUAGGGAACAGUUAUGUAGAUAUAUAUAAAUAUAAUUAUGUGUAUGUAUAAAGAGACAGAAAGCAGCGGCCACACGAAUGACUAGAAGAACUAGCGGGGCGUUGAUACCCUGCACGGCAAGGCAAUAGUUAGACAACAGAAUCUGAAAAGCGACGUCGAUGGUAUCCAGAAAUCACAGAUUAAAAUGCUUCCUUAGUAACAGAUUAAUCUAUUCAGAAAAUUUUCUUAAUCUAAUUUUUUCUUUCUCUUUAUUUUCCCUGUUUCUUCCAACAGAAUUAAUUCCACGACCCAUAGACGUCAGCACUUCAAAUUAUACUUGCAAUGUCACGCAACACCACAUGCACCUGUCGAUCGUGGAGUCCUCCACUGUAUCUCGUUUCCAUAUUCCAUUUUGGUAACAAGAUCGACUACUGCUUCAGACAACGCGCGAUCAUCGAUGCAGAAAGCGGAUAUGCGAGGCUGAAAAGCGUCUUCACCUCCAGCUUACGUUAAGCGUAAUCUCAACUAUGUCUAUAUCAGAGAACUCUCUGUUUGAAAAAAGUGGCAAAAAAAACAAAAAUCGUUGAGUGCUUUAUAAAGCUAUUCUAAACAAAGCCAACACAGAUACUACGUUUUUGGCAAAAAAUACACUGUCCAAAAGUAUACGCGUCUUGAGGCUGGUAGGACGCUUUUAAUACCAAUAUAGCGAUAGGAAAAAAAGAAAGAAAAUUGGAAUUCCACGCAUAUACACUUGCAUCGUUUGGUGAGCUGUAAUACAGCGUGACAGAUUGCAGGUUGCAAGAACUUAGCAUGCAUUGGCGUAGUAUCACGUAACCGAUGAACAUUGCUAUAUUCAAAUCAGCCAAAAAAUUUACCCCCGGAUGGAAAAAGAACAACCCCCAUCUGAAAACACCCGCGAGAGAAAACAUUGAGGGAAUACUUACACGAUGCGCCGUGGAGAGAGGUCCCCUAACCAGGUAGACAGUCAGACUCUUUAACCUGGUCGAAUAUCCGGUUUAGAUAAUGCGUUUCUCUGGUAUUUUAAACAUGCAUGCUAUACCACGCAAUGCGCUCUGCUGAUCAACGAUUCUCCCCUCCACAGGGAGACAACGAUCAUUCCAUUGAAUUUGUGUUUUUCAGUUCGUCAUUUUUCUUUUUUUUCGAUUUUUCAGUUCUAAGCAGCUCACAGGUCAGUACACAUGGUCUGGUGAUUCCCCGCUUCACGAACGAAGCGUCUGCCCUCUUUACUCUCAUUACUGAAUUACGUAGACGCCCGCACAUAAUUAUAUAUAGAGAGAGACACGCUAGUAAGGUUAAAUUUGCCCUUUUUGAAGUUGGUACAAAAAUAGCAGUAAGAUAAGAAGAAGAUUAAUUUUUGUCUCUUUUUGAUUGUUGCAAAAGCUUGAAGGAAUUGGUAUGUUGGUAAAGUACGCAAACUUAUCGACAGUUGAUGAGUAAUGACGAAAUGGAGGGAAGUCGCAUCAAUCGUGCCGCUAAGAUCAGCCAGAGUGUACAAACUUAUUACAAAACAGAGAGAAGGUGAAUGGUGGCAAAGAGAAGUAAAGAAGGAUCUUUCAAUCAGUUCAAAAAGAGACCGUAACACGUCUUUGAAGAUCAUUAGAGAGGUACUAAAAUGAAUCAUAUAUCGCUCGAUUACAUUAUAAGUUAUGCACCAAAAAAAAAAAAAAAAAAAAAAAAAAAAAAAAAAAAAAAAAAAAAAAAGAGAGUAUUAAUUCUCCCUGGCUUGGAGAAUUAUUUAUGAGCUAACAAAAAUUCUAUCUGAUAUUUUACAAACGUGAAUCUUCGCUUCUCUAUUUUGACGAUCGAUCGGUAUCGAGUAUCCAGAGAAAAAAAUAAUUCUUUGUAUAAUUCGACUGUAGAAACUGUCUUGUAAGCUAAUCGUAGCGUUAAACUUUCAAAAAAAGAGUGUCACUUUUAAGGAUCCUUCACAGAACAGCCAACUUGCAUGAAUAAAGAUAUCCAGUAUUGCAAAGGAGUACAUACAAAUCGCACACCGCUUUGCCAGGGACUGUAAUUUGAAAGUAUUUGUGGAUCUGUAUUCUAUACAUAACGACCGGAAAUACGUUCACUUAGGAAAAAUGUAAUUAUAUUAAAUGUACUAUAAAACACGUGGUAUAGUCGCAAUGCAUGGAACAUUAGUAACGUGCCUGCGAACACGACGUGGAUCGUGUGAAUAAAAGUAUGGAUCAUGAAAAAAAUGUGAAUGUGUUAUGUGAUAGUACAAUGACUUUCGUUUGAAAGUUUCUAUUGGCCAACUUCUGCGGCUAUAUUGUAAGCAACACUUGAAGUUAAUAUUCGAUCGAUGUACAUUGGUUCAGUCAACUUUAUCAUAGUGACCAUUUUCCGUAAACAAAAUAGUAGAAUCGACAAAAGAGAUGAUGAAGUUACGCGAACCACGUCGUAUCAUAAAUGCAAUCAAACGUAUGGUACUAUUUGCUUGCAUGUAAGCAUAGUUAGCCGGAAGGUCAGCAAAAUGUUUGUGAAGUACAAAGAAGAUGAGCCCUUGAGGUUACCAGGGCAACAAAUGGUACUGAUUAAAUAGCAGAUGUUUAAUUCAGAUCCAUUCAAAAGGAUGGACAAAUGUCCUGUGAAAUUAGGGGAAAUAUCCCUAUCAAGCAAUAAAAGAAAGAACUCGAUCGAGCUAUCUCCAUUAUCAAUGAAUGUCGCAACAAAGAAUCUCAUUUCGAUGAAAAACUUCCGAAUAUAUUCGAUUAUUUCAUUUUCACAAUUAUUUUAAUAAUUUUUAAUAAAUUUGUUUGUUACUAAAAGCAAAUUCUAAAAUAUUAUUUUAGAUCUUACUAGAUCUUGUUUCCAGAGAAUAUUUAGUAGUAUUUCAAAUUUAAUAAUGUUCAUAGUUCUAGCUAUUUCUGGUAUAUUAAUGAAUUGUAUUUUUAUUUUAGGUUUAUUAAAUAUUGUCUUUUAUCGAAACGAGAAAGACCGAUUGCUUCAUCGCAAUUUCUAUAAUUUUCGAAGACAUGGAAAAAAACAGGGUAAAAUCGUGAGAUACGAAGUAACAGAGCGCAAAAAUGCAGCGUGCCACUGAAAAGGUUAAAAGGAAUUCUUUGUUAUCGAUCUAUCGAUAAGCGAUAGUAAGUUCUCGACACCAGUGGUGAUCUGAUGGAACUCUUUUCACAAAAUAUAGUGAUAUUUUGUGAAAUCCCCAAAAUUAUAACAGUAUCUUAGUGAUAAUAGUUUUAGUAACAAUUAUUUUUUCAUGUAAGUAGUAUUUAACGUGCUUAGUGUUUAACAAAGUUGUCAGUAGUUAAUUUAAAAUAAAGCUAUUGCUAUAUGUAUUUGCUAUAAUGAACAAAUAUAGUACUAAUAACUUUAUAGUUGUUACUAAUGGAAACGAAGUGCUAUGUUUUUUGUAAUCCAAGAUAAAGAAACACAGUACUACGUUGGUAAAACGGAUACUGUGCGUCCCUAAUUACUUACAAAUCUAACUGAAGCAGUUCUAGAACAUAGUCUAUUAAAACUAAUUUCAAACAUCUAGUACUUAAAAUAAAAGAAAUUAACUUGUAAUCAAAUGUCACCAGGUGUCGAGAUCCACAAAGAAAGAGAAAUAAUUUGAGAAACAGAAGCGGCCAAACAAUAGCUCGUGCGCGCGCGCGCUAUCAUAGAAGUGUUCUAUGGCUGUGUGUGUGCAUUAGGGGAGAUUCAUACGUGACUAGAGGAUGUCGCAGACGCAUAAAUCAGCGAGAAAAAGGGGAAAUCGGGACCUGUCGAUAUGUACCACUAGUAAAAAGAAUCCCUAACCUUUCCAUUGCUUAAGAUUUCUGAUUGAGUCAGAAGGAAAAUGAAAAGGCUAGGAAAGAUUAGCACUACCAACUUAUAAAAUAAAAAUAGAAGACAAAAGGGGUAGAAAGAAGGCGUGUAAAAAGAAAAGCGUGUGAAAGAAACAGAGAGAAAGAGAUAGUAUUAGACAGAGAUAGAAAUUCUGUAUGUAUGUAUGUCUGUGUAAAAGUAUGCCUGUAUGUAUAUGUUAUAUGUAUAUGUGUGUGAACAUAGAGUAAAAACAGUUACAGUAGACAGUUACAGACAGACAGACAGACAGACAGACAGAUAGAAAUAAGAUAAAGAUCUAGCGAAAGUGUGAAAGAUAGAGCAGAGAGGAGC